GUAGGGUGCGAGCGUUAAUCGGAAUUACUGGGCGUAAAGCGAGCGCAGACGGUUAAAUAAGUCAGAUGUGAAAUCCCCGAGCUCAACUUGGGACGUGCAUUUGAAACUGUGUAACUAGAGUGUGUCAGAGGGAGGUAGAAUUCCACGUGUAGCAGUGAAAUGCGUAGAGAUGUGGAGGAAUACCGAUGGCGAAGGCAGCCUCCUGGUAUAACACUGACGUUCAUGCUCGAAAGUGUGGGUAGCAAACAGGAUUAGAUACCCUGGUAGUCCACGCCCUAAACGAUGACAAUUAGCUGUUGGGGUACUAGUUACCUUAGUAGCGAACUAACGCGUGAAAUUGUCCGCCUGGGGAGUACGGUCGAAAGAUUA
rnacentral:rRNA from 1 species